UACGAAGGGGGCUAGCGUUGUUCGGAUUUACUGGGCGUAAAGCGCACGUAGGCGGAUCGAUCAGUCAGGGGUGAAAUCCCAGAGCUCAACUCUGGAACUGCCUUUGAUACUGUCGAUCUGGAGUAUGGAAGAGGUGAGUGGAAUUCCAAGUGUAGAGGUGAAAUUCGUAGAUAUUCGGAGGAACACCAGUGGCGAAGGCGGCUCACUGGUCCAUUACUGACGCUGAGGUGCGAAAGCGUGGGGAGCAAACAGG
rnacentral:rRNA from 1 species